rnacentral:rRNA from 1 species
AUGGAGCAGAGGGUCGUUGCAUCUGGAACUCCUCCAGCAACGCCGGCAUGCGCGCGGCCGCGGCCAGAUCUCGGCUGCGGCGGCCUCCUUCGCGUUGAACCACGCGACCUCCGCCUCCCAAUGACAUUCCAGCGCGGGAUCGAAGAUGUCGCCGAGGCGACGAAAGCUGGCCCAAGCCGGAGCACCGGCACUGCAGGACUUGGCGUCGCGCUUGCGCCCCGCCUCUCUUUGCAUGUCCGACACGGCAGGGCGGAGGCCGGAGCCGCCUGCCUCGUCGUCGUUCCGGCACUUGCAGGCGACGAAGCUGUCGCGCGCGCCGUCUCCACCGUAGCACCCGAAGCCCCCGCGCCGACCGAAACCAUCGUCGCUGCCACGCCCCGCACCCGCGGUUACCAUCACCGGAUAGAUCCGGUGGCUGGAGUCACCGGAAAUCACUGCCAGAGGGAAGGUGAUUUCUCGCCGGAGGGAGGAGGUUCACGGCGAAGGAGGGUAGAGGAUUUGUGGGAUGGAAACGCUAAAAUACAUCGGCGCCCAAAUAUAUAG